GAUGAACGCUGGCGGCGUGCCUAAUACAUGCAAGUCGAGCGAACGGACGAGAAGCUUGCUUCUCUGAUGCUAGCGGCGGACGGGUGAGUAACACGUGGAUAACCUACCUAUAAGACUGGGAUAACUUCGGGAAACCGGAGCUAAUACCGGAUGAUAUUUUGAACCGCAUGGUUCAAAAGUGAAAGACGGUCUUGCUGUCACUUAUAGAUGGAUCCGCGCUGCAUUAGCUAGUUGGUAAGGUAACGGCUUACCAAGGCAACGAUGCAUAGCCGACCUGAGAGGGUGAUCGGCCACACUGGAACUGAGACACGGUCCAGACUCCUACGGGAGGCAGCAGUAGGGAAUCUUCCGCAAUGGGCGAAAGCCUGACGGAGCAAUGCCGCGUGAGUGAUGAAGGUCUUCGGAUCGUAAAACCCUGUUAUUAGGGAAGAACAUAUGUGUAAGUAACUGUGCACAUCUUGACGGUACCUAAUCAGAAAGCCACGGCUAACUACGUG
rnacentral:rRNA from 1 species